rnacentral:misc_RNA from 1 species
CUCCAUGUAAACAAGCCUUGAUUAUAAAAUUAUUGUUAUGUGAUUAAAUACCAUUUAAAAACGAGGCCAAUGGGCAAUGUCUAUCGUUUUUAUAAUCGAACCAAACUCUACAGCGAUACUCGAUAGUCUCACAAAAUCGAAUACGGAAGUAACCAAAGUUCAGUCCAUACAUCAGUAAAAUUUUAAGUUUAAUCGUUGUUGAAUUCAUCACAGUGAUUUCUGUAUGUUUUUAAAAAUCAUAAAGACCAAAAACUCAAAAUGAUGGCCACAACAUCAAAUUUAUUAUUUCGUAAAGUGGGAACAUCAUGCUUCCGUUUAUAUUCAGCUACUUCACCAAAGAUUACAACACAUUAUACUGUGUGUCCACGAGAAAAUGACCAAAGAUGGAAAGAUAUAUCAAUGGAACGUUAUGAGGAUGUGGCUGACGUUGUAAUUGUUGGCGGUGGACCAGCUGGUUUAUCAGCUGCAAUAAAGUUAAAAAAGUUAGCAACUGAAAAUAACAAGGAGCUAAGAGUUUGUGUGGUGGAAAAAGCUUCAGAAGUUGGUAAUCAUAUUCUAUCUGGUGCUGUUGUUGAUCCAAUCGCCUUGAAUGAACUAUUUCCCAAUUGGAAAGAUUUGGGUGCACCAUUAACUACCCCAGUGAAAGAUGAUAAGUUUGGUUAUCUCACUAAAAGUAGUCGUAUACCUAUACCUAUUUUACCAGGUAUGCCAAUGGAUAACCAUGGAAAUUAUAUUGUGAGAUUGGGCCAUUUAGUAAAAUGGCUUGGUGAACAAGCCGAAUCCUUAGGUGUUGAAGUAUAUGCAGGAUAUCCAGCCGCGGAAGUCCUCUAUCAUGAUGAUGGUUCAGUGAAAGGAGUUGCAACUGGUGAUGUUGGCAUUGCCAAAGAUGGAUCACCUAAAGAUAGUUUUGAACGCGGUAUGGAAUUGCAUGCCAAAAUUACCAUAUUUGCUGAAGGUUGUCAUGGUCAUCUUACCAAACAAUUAUUUAAAAAAUUCAAUCUACGUGAAAAUUGUGAACCACAAUCAUAUGGCCUUGGUCUUAAGGAAAUAUGGGAAGUAAAACCUGAACAUCACAGUCCUGGAAAAGUAGAACAUACUGUUGGCUGGCCAUUAGACAAAAAUACUUAUGGUGGCUCCUUUAUUUAUCAUUUGAACGAAUCCACUCCUCUUGUUGCUGUUGGCUUUGUUGUUGGACUUGAUUAUAGUAAUCCAUACUUAUCUCCUUUUAGAGAGUUUCAGAGAUUUAAACAUCACCCUCAUGUCCAACCUUUGUUUGAGGAUGGUAAAAGGAUUGCGUAUGGUGCUAGAGCUCUUAAUGAAGGAGGUUUUCAGUCUAUUCCAAAACUCUCUUUUCCUGGUGGUGCUUUAAUUGGUUGUACUGCUGGAUUUUUAAAUGUACCAAAAAUCAAAGGUACUCAUUAUGCAAUGAAAUCUGGCAUGCUUGCUGCUGAGUCAACUUUUGAUACCAUUUUUAAUACAUCUGUAACAAGCGAAACUGCUGGUUUGGAACCUAAAGACUAUGAAGAAAAAGUAAAAGGCAGUUGGAUAUGGUCAGAUUUGAAAGAAGUAAGAAAUGUUCGACCAUCUUUCCACACAAAGCUUGGACUGUUUGGAGGUAUGGCAUAUUCUGGAUUUACACUUGCCGUUAAAGGAAAGGAACCUUGGACAUUAAGCCAUGGAGUUCCUGAUAAUGAGAGACUGAAAACAAAGACUGAAGUUUCUGUUAUCGAGUAUCCAAAACCUGAUGGAAAAAUUAGCUUUGAUAUUUUAUCUUCUGUGGCAUUAACUGGCACAAACCAUGAAGGAGAUCAACCGGCCCAUUUAACAUUAUUGGACGACUCUGUUCCUGUAAACACAAACCUUAAUCUGUAUGAUGGCCCAGAAGGCAGAUUUUGUCCUGCAGGUGUUUACGAAUACGUGCCAGCCGAGGAUGGCGCUGGCGAUCGGUUGCAAAUAAACGCUCAAAAUUGCAUCCACUGCAAGACUUGUGACAUCAAAGAUGCCACGCAGAAUAUCAACUGGGUGGUGCCCGAACCAGGUGGCGGCCCCGCUUAUAACGGCAUGUAAUCGGCGGAAUCGAUACUACAUACUAUACUAUAGGUACCAGCUAUAAUGUUAUGAUACAACGCCAUUUGUGUGAGACCAUAAUGUGUUAUCGUCUACAAAUAAAUGUGUUUACUCAACUAUUGCUUCCGGCAGCCUAACAACAUCGUCAUUAUUAUCUGCCCUACGACAACGCAUAUUUUUGGUUCGUAUAUUACGCACAUAAAACUCAACUUGUGUUUGAAUUUAUCGUUUAAAUACAUAACUCAUAAUUAUAUUUUAAAUACAAUUACCAUACGAAUAGACGAGGAUAAAAGAAGGGUAUACUCAUUGAAAUUGUUUAAAUGUUUUACUUAAAUAUUUAUCUACUAUAUAUUUUUUUUGUUAGUUUUUUUUAAUAUGGAAUUUUUAAUAUUUUAUGUAUCAUAUAUAUUGUAAUAUGUAUAAUGUUAUGGUUUGUUUUGUUCGUCGAAUUAAAACACUUCGAAUAUAUUAA